rnacentral:rRNA from 1 species
AGUGAACGCUGGCGGUAGGCCUAACACAUGCAAGUCGAACGGCAGCACAGUAAGAGCUUGCUCUUACGGGUGGCGAGUGGCGGACGGGUGAGGAAUACAUCGGAAUCUACUUUUUCGUGGGGGAUAACGUAGGGAAACUUACGCUAAUACCGCAUACGACCUACGGGUGAAAGCAGGGGAUCUUCGGACCUUGCGCGAUUGAAUGAGCCGAUGUCGGAUUAGCUAGUUGGCGGGGUAAAGGCCCACCAAGGCGACGAUCCGUAGCUGGUCUGAGAGGAUGACGAGCAACACUGGAACUGGAACACGGUCCAGACUCCUACGGGAGGAGGCAGUGGGGAAUAUUGGACAAUGGGCGCAAGCCUGAUCCAGCCAUACCGCGUGGGUGAAGAAGGCCUUCGGGUUGUAAAGCCCUUUUGUUGGGAAAGAAAAGCAGCAGGUUAAUACCCCGCUGUUCUGACGGUACCCAAAGAAUAAGCACCGGCUAACUUCGUG